AACGCACAUUGCGCCCCUUGGUAUUCCAUGGGGCAUGCCUGUUCGAGCGUCAUUUGUACCUUCAAGCUCUGCUUGGUGUUGGGUGUUUGUUCUCUCCCUGCGUUUGAACUCGCCUUAAAGUAAUUGGCAGCCGGCAUAUUGGCCUUGGAGCGCAGCACAUUUUGCGCUUUUAGUCAGUAUAUACUAGCUUCCAUCAAGUCUUUUAUCACUUUUGACCUCGGAUCAGGUAGGGAUACCCGCUGAACUUAA
rnacentral:misc_RNA from 2 species